rnacentral:RNase_P_RNA from 1 species
GCAGUGGGGCGAUCGGUCGCAUGGCGAAAUACAAUUCGUCAUGAGGAAAGUCCGGACUCUAAGGGCAAGGUGCCGGUUAAUUGCCGGGAGGAGUAAUCCUCGGAAUAGGGCCAUAGAAAUGAAAACCGCCAUUCUUGGCAAGGGUGGAACGGUGAGGUAAGAGCUCACCAGCAUCAGGGUAACCUGAUGGCUUGGUAACCCCCACCUUGAGCAAGGUCAAAUAGGAAGAGUAAGCUUGCCCGGCAUGCUUUUUAGCCUCUUCCAGGUAGACCGCUUAGAUAAAUGACCGAUAAAACAGAAUCCGGCUUAUAGCCCCACUGUUUUU